CGCCCAGGGCGCUCGGCUUCCGCCUCCUGCCGCGGCCGAGUGGGUGGGUGGACAGAGUGAAUGUGUUGGACCAGGUCAUCUGAGAGAUCCGGGAUGGCAGCGGGAUGGGAUGGGAGGUCAAGAAAAUCGUACAGCGCCUCCUCCCCCUUCAUCAGUCCUUCAUCUGAGCUUAUCUGCGGUAAGGUUUCUGCUUUCCCUCAACUCCAGGAUGGGUAGAAGCCGCUGUGGCACUGAACUGACUCACUGGGGAAGCUGGUAAGAUUUGACCUGGCCUGCACUUUGGCUGGAGACAAGACACAGCCUUUCUGACGAUCUCUUUGAGCCUUCAUUUUCCAUCUGGAAAUUCAAGCUAAUCUAUCAGUGCAGGUAGUUGCAGUAAAUAGAGA